rnacentral:rRNA from 1 species
GGAUAACAGAGAAUCUGGGUUCGAUUCCGGAGAGGCCGCAUGAGAAACGGCGACCACUUCCAAGGAAGGCAGCAGGCACCCAAAUUACCCACUUCGGACACCGAGAGGUAGUGACGAACAAUACCGAUGCGGUGCACUUACGUGUCGCCGUAAUCGGAAUGAGUACACUUCAAAUCCUUUAACGAGGAUCCACUGGAGGGCAAGCCUGGUGCCAGCAGCCGCGGUAAUUCCAGCUCCAGCAGCGUAUAUUUAUAUUGCUGCGUUUAAAAAGCUCGUAGUUGAAGCGUCAGACGCGGGAGGACGGACGGCCGCACUGGUCGCUUCUCGUCCGACCGAGCCAGGCGCAGAGGGCGUCCGUCGGUUGCACUUCACCGUGUGAUCGCGGCGUCGCUGCACGUUCACCUUGAAGAAAUUGAACCGCUUAGAGGGGGCGAGCAGCUUGUACAGCUCAGCAUGGUAUGAUGGAACAUGGGCUCGUACUCAUUUUGUUGGUUUUAGAGUUCGCGAGCCAAUGAUUAACAGGGACUGCCGGGGGCAUUCGUACUCGAGCGGGAGAGGUGAAAUUCAAGGAUCGCUCGAAGACGUCCCACUGCGAAAGCAUUUGCCAAGAAUGUUUUCAUUAAUCAAGAACGAAAGUCAGAGGUGCGAAGGCGAUCAGAUACCGCCGUAGUUCUGACCGUAAACGAUGUCGACUGGCGAUUGGGCGCACUUCUGCCGAAGUUGCCGCCAGCAGUAUUCGCCCGGGAAACCAAAGUGAUUGGACUCCGGGGGGAGUAUGGUUGCAAAGCUGAAACUUAAAGGAAUUGACGGAAGGGCACCACCAGGAGUGGAGCCUGCGGCUUAAUUUGACUCAACACGGGAAACCUCACCCGGCCCGAACACUGUGAUGACAGACAGGUUGAGAGCUCUUUCUCGAUUCAGUGGUUGGUGGUGCAUGGCCGUUCUUAGUUCGUGGAGCGAUCUGUCUGGUUAAUUCCGAUAACGAACGAGACUCUUGCCUGCUAAAUACGCCGGCGCCGACUCAGGUCGGCGACCGCUAGCUUCUUAGAGGGACAAGCGGCUUUUAGUCGCGUGAAGCGGAGAGCAAUAACAGGUCAGUGAUGCCCUCAGAUGUUCGGGGCCGCACGCGCGCUACACUGCUUGCAUCAGCGUGUUUCACCCUCGCCGGCCGGCGUGGGCAAUCCGUUGAACCGCAAGCGUGCUAGGGAUCGGAGAUUGCAAUUAUUCUCCGUCAACGAGGAAUUCCUUGUACUUGCGAGUCAUCAGCUCGCGGGGAAUCUGUCCCUGCCCUUUGUACACACCGCCCGUCGCUACUACCGAUUGAGUGGUUUAGUGAGGCCCACGGACUGCGCGCGGCACCCGGCGCUUCGGCGUCGCGUCGCGAGCGGAAAGUGAGACGAACUUGAUCACUUCUAGGAAGUAAAAGUCGUAACAAGGUUUU